rnacentral:lncRNA from 1 species
UACAUAGAAAUAACAAAAAACACACACACGUGCACUUGAACAGAAGGUAAAAUGUUGAAUUGAAGCAAAUGGUGUCACCUUAUACAUAAAGGAAAAUAAAUUAAAAGUACGGUCGGACCAAUGAUAGACAAUGUGUAAGGAUAUACUUAGGCAUUGAUGUCAACAAGACUGUUCUAAUUACCCAUUUGAUAGAUCAAGAGAUGCACGUACAAAAUUUUGAAAACCCCAUCAACUGAACUAAUAAAGUUCUUACUGGCAUCAGAACUGUACUGGUACCAAAAUUGAUCGAUUCUGCAAAUAUCCAAGAAUAUGUAAACAAUAUUUCACCUCCGGGCACAAGUUUUUUCUCCUCCCCAAUGCAUCAGGUGCACAUGAGAGCCAAACAGGCUUUCGCAUUGGUAGAAUCAAUUGUUUGCUCCAUCUUCAAUACUACAAAGGAACUUCCAUGUCAAAGGGACGCAAAAUAUGCUCUUCUUGCCUGAAAGGAAGAAAAUGAUACAAAUCAAAAAGUGCCUUCGGUACCAAAUCCUAGAAAUACCGCAGCAAAAACACUAUUUGAAUCACAUUGUCAGGUCAUAAUGUGUCUGUC